AAAUAAACAUAAAAGAAAAUCCUCUAGAGGCACCAAUAACGAAAAGAUGCUCAACAUCAUUAGUCAUCAACGGAUCAAAACCACAUGGAGACACCACACCCACUAGAAUGGCUUGUAUAAAAAAAAAAUCAGAUGAUAACGGGAGAAGGCAGAAAUGUUGAGAAAAGGGAACCCUCCAAUGCUGCUGAUGGGAAUGGAAAAUGGUGCAGCCACUUUGAAAACCAGUCUAGGGGUUCCUCGAAGAAUUAAACACAGAGUUACCAUGUGGCCCAGCAAUUCCAUGCCUUGGUACGCACCCAAGAGAGACAAAAGCAUAUGUCCACACAGAGGCUGGUACAUGAAUGUUCGUAGCAGCAUUAUUCACAACAGCCAAAAGGUGGAAAUACCCCCACAUGUCCAGUCGGCGUGCCGUAUCCAUGCCAUGGAAUCGUCCUCAGCCGUGAAAGAGUAGAAUCCUGACACAUGGUACAAAAUAGAUGAACCCUGAGUACAUUAUUGCCAGAUGAAAGAAACCAGUCACAAAAGGCCGCAUAUCGUACGAUUCCUUUGAAAUGAAAUGUCGACCACAUCUGGGAAAUCUACAGAGACAGGAAAUAGAUUAGUGGUUGCUUAGGGCUGGGGGGAGGAUGGUGGGAUAGAGAGGUAACAGCAAAAGGAAAGGGGCUUCUUUUUGAGGUGAUUAAAAUGUUUUAAAAUUGUGAUGGUUGCACCCCUAGGAACACGCUAAACACCAUUGGCCUGGACCUUUUGAAACGGUGAGUUGUCUGGUAUUUGAAUGCUACCUCGAUAGGACUGUUAGAAACGAAUCCUCUAGGGGGUGUGAUUGAGCAUCCCUGAUGCUGAGUUUUCAGAGCCCUCCCAGGGACUCCAGGGAGCAGUCAGGCUGGGAACCACAGGCGGACCGUUACUCUGUGUUGGGGCUAUAUGAAUACGUGUUUUAAACCAUCCUGUUGUUUCACAGCCAGGGUGAUGUCCUCCGGGAUCCAAAAUUCCGCGACUCUGGGAAUUCUAUUCGUCUAAUUCACAGCCUGUAGUUUAAUCAGCGGUCUGUGUUCAGAUGGGCCACCGCAUUGCCCUCCGCCAGCAGGCUGGGAGUUGUCUGGAACGGGAAGCCUGACUUGCCCAUUGGACCAGACAGUGCCAGCCACAAUGGUCUCAGGUUGUUGAGUUCAACAGACAGCUUGCAGCAGAGGCCAGCCGUCAGCUGUCGGCACUCCUGGAUGGCGUGACACCAGCAGAGCAUUAUCCCCGAUGAAUCACAGCCGAGAUUCCUUGUGGAUGGUCUUCGUCAUCUUCCAAGAUCCCUGUCGUGGGCAUAUCAUACACCGAAGACACCGAUUUGACCCGAGAUCUUACACUAGAAGGUCAAAAGCUCCUUCACAUGGAAGAACACCUCACUCCUACCCUACAAGUGAUUAUAACCAGUCUCCACAACUAGUUCCAAUGCAAGAAUUUGGCAUCUGGAAACUAUUUUAUUUAAUAGUCCUUCUUCUAGUAAUCUUACUAAGUAUAUAUAUAAACGGCAAGGCUUAACAUCUCUCAGGGAGGUUACGAUCAGGAUACUUACGUACUAUUGGUUCUCCAAUGUUAACUUUAAAUGUAUAAAGAAAGUAUUAUUUUCCAAUUUCUAACAUUUGAAAUACUAUGGUUCUGGGAAAUGUUAAAAAUAGAUUUAAUGAAAAGUCAACUAAUUUAAUAAUCUGGAGAUAGUACAAUUAAGCAAAGAAUAGUUUUCAAGACUUCUACGGAGACAGUAAUACCAUACUAGUUAAGAGCCCAAACCUUGUUACCAAAAUAAUUGGAUUUUAAAUCUAAUAUGACUAAGUGUACUUCCAAACCUGAAAAAUGGGAGGCGAGUGUGACUAUAACGGCAGUAAGAAGGGAUCCUUGUUUUGUAUCUUGACUGAAUUUGGGUCAAAAUCCUGGUUAUAAUAUUUUACUAUAGUGUUUCAGUAUGUUAUCACUGGGGAAAACUGAAUAAAGGAUAUCCAAGAACUCUGUAUUAUUCCUUAACAACUACAUGUGAAUUUGUAAUUAUCUCCAAAUAGAAAGUUUAAUUGGUCUUUUGCAAAUGUUAACUUAAAUUGUAAUUUCAAAACUAUCCUAUGCAAUUACAUUUCUUUUCUAACUUCUAUGAUGAGUGAAAUAGACAAAGUCAAACAGACUACAAAUUACUUUAUUUUAAAUUUAGCAAUGACCUAACCAGAAGGUGGCACUGUUCCCACAUCCCUAGACCACGGUAAGGGACUGUCACUUUAAACAUCAUGAAAACGGAAUACUAAGGUUUUACCAAUCAAAACUGUAAACGCUAACCCCAAUUCA